CUUUGAGAAAUCGAAUUAACAAUGAUGCCUCUGAUGUCGUCCGGAUGGCUUUCGACAUUUCGAACAAGAAGAAGCCUGUUUGGAGGAUAAUCAAGUGUCCGAAGCAAGGUGGCAUUGUGGAGUGCGGGUAUUAUGUGAUGCGAUUCAUGCGUGAUAUAAUAUUGUCAAG